AGCUUGCUUUUGGAAGGUCAGCGGCGGACGGGUGAGUAACACGUGGGCAACCUGCCUGUGAGACUGGGAUAACUUCGGGAAACCGGAGCUAAUACCGGAUAAUAUAAGGAACCUCCUGGUUCUUUAUUGAAAGAUGGUUUCGGCUAUCACUCACAGAUGGGCCCGCGGCGCAUUAGCUAGUUGGUGAGGUAACGGCUCACCAAGGCGACGAUGCGUAGCCGACCUGAGAGGGUGAUCGGCCACACUGGGACUGAGACACGGCCCAGACUCCUACGGGAGGCAGCAGUAGGGAAUCUUCCACAAUGGACGAAAGUCUGAUGGAGCAACGCCGCGUGAGCGAUGAAGGCCUUCGGGUCGUAAAGCUCUGUUGUUAGGGAAGAACAAGUGCGAGAGUAACUGCUCGCACCUUGACGGUACCUAACCAGAAAGCCACGGCUAACUACGUGCCAGCAGCCGCGGUAAUACGUAGGUGGCAAGCGUUGUCCGGAAUUAUUGGGCGUAAAGCGCGCGCAGGUGGUCCUUUAAGUCUGAUGUGAAAGCCCACGGCUCAACCGUGGAGGGUCAUUGGAAACUGGGGGACUUGAGUGCAGAAGAGGAAAGUGGAAUUCCAAGUGUAGCGGUGAAAUGCGUAGAGAUUUGGAGGAACACCAGUGGCGAAGGCGACUUUCUGGUCUGUAACUGACACUG
rnacentral:rRNA from 1 species